UACGGAGGAUGCAAGCGUUAUCCGAAUUUAUUGGGUUUAAAGGGUGCGUAGGCGGAUAUGUAAGUCAGCGGUGAAACUCACAGGCUCAACCUGUGCCGUGCCGUUGAAACUGUGUAUCUGGAAUGCGGAUGCUGUGGGAGGAAUGUGUAGUGUAGCGGUGAAAUGCAUAGAUAUUACACAGAACACCGAUUGCGAAGGCAUCUCACAAAGCCGUUAUUGACGCUGAGGCACGAAAGUGUGGGGAUCAAA
rnacentral:rRNA from 1 species